CCAGUUUCCUGAAGACUGGUAUUCACAUGGUGGGAAGAGAGGACGAAUGCAGACAGCUAUUGGAACAACUUCUGCAGAUGUGGUGAGACCUUAUGGAGGUUGGGCUUCUGUGCACCUCGAUCCCUGCAAAACCAGAUGGAGGAAUUAAACCUGUGUCUCCCAAGGCAGAACAAAAGUGCCAAGUUGUGGACUCCUGUGAUAAAAAGAGGCUACUCUCCCGUAGAAACUACUUCACAGUCAAAAUUAGUUGGGCAAGACAGAGACUGUGACUGACUGGGCCACCAUACAUGCUAUUGGCCAAUGGGAGCUGAGGGGCUACACUUGAGAAGGAGGGAGGGAGCUCACUGCUCCCUUGCUGUCUUGCAGUGGUACAUUCAUUAAUCACUGAACUCUGCAUUGUGCUGUAUUUUGAGUGGAAAUUGCUGCUGCUGUGCCUUAUAUGGACAGUAAUCCUAUGGCUGCGUGUUAGGCAGGCAUGUGAGAUCAGAGGUCCUCAGGGAGGCUGGGAAAUGUCCAUCUGCUGAUUCUGUCAUGGGAGAAUGAAAAUACAUGGACAUAUAGGCAUGAAAACAAUAUGAUUCUCAGGUCAAGUGGAAAUUUCUGCUCGCAGAGUAACAUUCAUCUGGGCAGAUUCCUUUGCCUGUCUUACACUUGCUGGAUAUGAGAGCAGUGGCUCAUUUCCAUAAUUUCCAUCAUUUCCAUGUAUCUCAGUAUAAGGAACAGGA